ACAUAAAUGUGCAUAUAAAUAUGCCAAAAAGUCGAAGCUAUUAUGAUUUAAUCAUUCCAUGAAUUAAAAGUAAAAAAAAAAUUGAAAUACUCAAUAAACAAAAUUCAACUUGCAAUAUCAGGGACCUAUAUACUAACUAUACCUAAACCGUUUAAUAAGACUUUGGCAAUAUCAAAUUUGUGCAACAAAUUAGCAAACAUAAUAAUAAUGUACUUGUAAUAUUUUUGAAAUUAGUAUCCAUAGGAAUCUGGUAUUCUCUGUUCUAUUAGACCGACUUCGUCCUGCUUUAUACCUUAAUGACUCAGGUAGAUGUUCUUGUGAUCACCUGUGUACACAUAUGGGAUUAAAUUCGGUGUACAUGUAUUACAUCAGUACGACCCGUUGUUGUGAUGUUCAUUUUUAAACAACUUCAUGUGAACAGCGUAACUUGUUUACAUAUUGUUGAGAGUAUGUAUUUUUCUUGCGGUUUCAAAUAAAUAUAUUUCAUGAU
rnacentral:sRNA from 1 species